GAUGAACGCUGGCGGCGUGCCUAAUACAUGCAAGUCGAGCGAACGGACGAGAAGCUUGCUUUUCUGAUGUUAGCGGCGGACGGGUGAGUAACACGUGGAUAACCUACCUAUAAGACUGGGAUAACUUCGGGAAACAGGAGCUAAUACCGGAUAAUAUUUUGAACCGCAUGGUUCAAAAGUGAAAGACGGUCUUGCUGUCACUUAUAGAUGGAUCCGCGCUGCAUUAGCUAGUUGGUAAGGUAACGGCUUACCAAGGCAACGAUGCAUAGCCGACCUGAGAGGGUGAUCGGCCACACUGGAACUGAGACACGGUCCAGACUCCUACGGGAGGCAGCAGUAGGGAAUCUUCCGCAAUGGGCGAAAGCCUGACGGAGCAACGCCGCGUGAGUGAUGAAGGUCUUCGGAUCGUAAAACUCUGUUAUUAGGGAAGAACAUAUGUGUAAGUAACUGUGCACAUCCUGACGGUACCUAAUCAGAAAGCCACGGCUAACUACGUG
rnacentral:rRNA from 1 species